rnacentral:rRNA from 1 species
CCUACGGGAGGCAGCAGUGGGGAAUAUUGCACAAUGGGGGAAACCCUGAUGCAGCGACGCCGCGUGAGUGAAGAAGUAUUUCGGUACGUAAAGCUCUAUCAGCAGGGAAGAAAAUGACGGUACCCGUCUCAGAUGCCCCGUCCAACUACGUGCCAGCAGCCGCGGUAAUACGUAGGGGGCAAGCGUUAUCCGGAUUUACUGGGUGUAAAGGGAGCGUAGACGGCAGCGCAAGUCUGGAGUGAAAUCCCAUGGCUUAACCAUGGAACUGCUGUGGAAACCGUGCAGCUAGAGUGCAGGAGAGGUAAGCGGAAUGCCUAGUGUAGCGGUGAAAUGCGUAGAUAUUAGGAGGAACACCAGUGGCGAAGGCAGCUUACUGGACUAUAACUGACGUUGAGGCUCGAAAGCGUGGGGAGCGAACAGGAUUAGAUACCCCUGUAGUC